GAUGAACGCUGGCGGCGUGCUUAACACAUGCAAGUCGAACGAUAAAGCCCAGCUUGCUGGGUGGAUUAGUGGCGAACGGGUGAGUAACACGUGAGUAACCUGCCCUUGACUCUGGGAUAAGCCCGGGAAACUGGGUCUAAUACCGGAUAGGAGCGCCUGUCGCAUGACGGGUGUUGGAAAGAUUUUUCGGUCAUGGAUGGACUCGCGGCCUAUCAGCUUGUUGGUGAGGUAAUGGCUCACCAAGGCGACGACGGGUAGCCGGCCUGAGAGGGUGACCGGCCACACUGGGACUGAGACACGGCCCAGACUCCUACGGGAGGCAGCAGUGGGGAAUAUUGCACAAUGGGCGGAAGCCUGAUGCAGCGACGCCGCGUGAGGGAUGACGGCCUUCGGGUUGUAAACCUCUUUCAGUAGGGAAGAAGCGAAAGUGACGUACC
rnacentral:rRNA from 1 species